rnacentral:rRNA from 1 species
GAUGAACGCUGGCGGCGUGCCUAAUACAUGCAAGUCGAGCGGCAGCACGGGUGCUUGCACCUGGUGGCGAGUGGCGAACGGGUGAGUAAUACAUCGGAACGUACCUUAUCGUGGGGGAUAACGCAGCGAAAGCUGUGCUAAUACCGCAUACGCCCUGAGGGGGAAAGCGGGGGAUCGAAAGACCUCGCGCGAUUAGAGCGGCCGAUGCCUGAUUAGCUUGUUGGUAGGGUAAAAGCCCACCAAGGCGACGAUCAGUAGCUGGUCUGAGAGGACGAUCAGCCACACUGGGACUGAGAAACGGCCCAGACUCCUACGGGAGGCAGCAGUGGGGAAUUUUGGACAAUGGGGGCAACCCUGAUCCAGCAAUGCCGCGUGAGUGAAGAAGGCCUUCGGGUUGUAAAGCUCUUUUGUCAGGGAAGAAACACCGGCUCUAACACAGUCCGGGAAUGACGGUACCUGAAGAAUAAGCACCGGCUAACUACGUGCCAGCCGCCGCCGUAA